rnacentral:rRNA from 1 species
AUUGAACGCUGGCGGCAGGCCUAACACAUGCGAGUCGAGCGGAUGAAGGGAGCUUGCUCCUGGAUUCAGCGGCGGACGGGUGGGUAAUGCCUAGGAAUCUGCCUGGUAGUGGGGGAUAACGUCCGGAAACGGGCGCUAAUACCGCAUACGUCCUGAGGGAGAAAGUGGGGGAUCUUUGGACCUCACGCUAUCAGAUGAGCCUAGGUCGGAUUAGCUAGUUGGUGGGGUAAAGGCCUACCAAGGCGACGAUCCGUAACUGGUCUGAGAGGAUGAUCAGUCACACUGGAACUGAGACACGGUCCAGACUCCUACGGGAGGCAGCAGUGGGGAAUAUUGGACAAUGGGCGAAAGCCUGAUCCAGCCAUGCCGCGUGUGUGAAGAAGGUCUUCGGAUUGUAAAGCACUUUAAGUUGGGAGGAAGGGCAGUAAGUUAAUACCUUGCUGUUUUGACGUUACCAACAGAAUAAGCACCGGCUAACUUCGUG